AUACACAUAAUUUUUUUUUAACUGAUUAAAGAAUACUUCCUCGUGCAGUGCAGUUGGAGAACUUGGCAAGCAGUCUACAUUUAAAUGGAGUACAACUACUGUCUUUUCUUCCUUUGGACUCUCUCAGCCCAGCUGUAGCAGCUUCCUCCCUCCGCUGGCUCAGUUCCUUGUGCAUCGAGUACCAGGUGGAGUCUGGGGAUACAGCUAUUUACAUCACAGACUUAAUGCUGCUCUUCCUGGAACAAAGGAAAGCCUGACUGGUAACCAGAAGAUGGCACAUCAUAAUAAUAUGGAGAGAUAUGUAUCAUCUUGGCUGCUACCUGUGGCAGCAGCUUGUAAUGGAAUUAGUCAUGGCUAGAACUUCAUCAUGAUGAGGUUUGUGGCUAACACACUCUGAAACCAGCUGCAAAGUCUCAGAGGCUGAUAUCUUCUCACCAGGACAGAAGGUCACAGCAGUGCUAUUCGUUUGUACUCGGGUGUAUGGUUGUUCACUGACACUUGCGUCUUCCCUUCAAAACCAGUUUUUCCACUGUUGUUUCUUAAAGAAGAGUAGGCAGUGAAGGAGGCAUCUGACACCUCUGGCAAAACUUGCUAGACAAUUUUAACUGAAUUAACAUGUGGGUGUCAUAACUUUUAGUUUAAGCCAUCCUGUGCAGUUAUCUCUAUGUCACAAACUUCUGCUCAAAGGUAGUUCUGCACAGUAACGAUGAUAAGUGCUUAUCUCUUUGUUUUUCUAAGUAUUGUGUGGUACCAUCUGAGAAAAAUCAAAAGCUCUCACCUGUAUGCUUUUGUUGGACUUCCUGUGGGACAGUGAAUUACUUCAGGAAGGUUGGGUACAUGUGUAUCUUCUGAGGCUUCCAUGUGUGCCCUUCCUGAAAUGUACAUGGGCGGAUGACUCGGUACAGUCAAUAUGCGGUACAGAAACCUGACAGACACCCCUGCCUAUGUGUUGGCCUCUCGUCUGCCACCCAGUUCUCCCCUAACAGGAGCUAGAAGUAACAAGUACCUAUUUAAACAUGUUUAGAAAUGUGUGAAAGAAUACAUGCUCUUCUGCUGUUGCAGUAGCAACUGAGCUCUUCAGAAACCUCUGCUCCUAAGUCUUACCGUGGUUGUGAAUUUCAUGUAGUAAAAAUGAGCUCAAUAACAUUCACGUGGUUUUAUGAUGGUUGUUGAUACCAUAGGCUUCUCAAGAAAUUCUAUGCUAUUACUACCUAGAGUACUACAUUAAAGGGAAAAAAGGCUUCCUUCAAUAUAUUUACUUUUCUUCCCCCAGGAAAAGAAAAGCAUAAUUUUGAUUGACAAUUUUAUUGGAAAGUGUGUUUCCAGAACCAUUAUAACUGGUUCAAGUGUCUUGAAGUGCAUUAGGGCUCUCAUAUUCUUGUUUUUGGUUUUUUUUGUUGUUGUUGUUGUCUCAUUUUGAGGUUUUUCUCACUGUAUGGAUUUUAUUACUCUGCCUCCUUUUCAAUUCCUGAGUUUUUGUGUUAUCUUUGUAGUUUUUGUCUGAAACAGUGAGAAUUGGAAACAUUAAAAAAAAAGAACUGAGGUUUUCUUGUAAUAACUGUUUUUUGUCAUCAGGAUCUAAAGAAAUCUUAUCAUCACUAAUGAAGUGAGUAGUAGAAGUAAACGUUUUUUAAAUAUUUAUUACUUCAUAGGGACAUAAAACUGAAAAAGUCUUUCUUAUUGAGCAUAUCUAAUCUCUGUUAUUACAUGAGAAUGUAACAAAAUCUUUUUCAGAAGGUACAAAGUGAUGUAUCUGAACUGCUUAGAUGUUUCUUCCCAUAGUCUUUGCUAUGCAGCUAUUUAGGUUGUUACUCCUCCAGUGGAGCACAUCCUUUUCAGCCUGAACAAAUUUUCUUGCGGUAUGGCAGUUGGUGUACCAGAACUUACACAUUAGUUGAUCUUUCUCGAAGAAAAAGAAUUGGGAUGUAGUUCCACUUUAUCUGCUGUGUGCAACAGAUCACUGGUGUUUAAGGAUUUGUCAAAGCUGGUGCCUGAUUCACAUUGCACAAUAAAAACAGUGACAAGUUACUAUGGAAAAGUGGUGUAUGGCUGUUUCAUGCUGCAAGCUCUGAGCACUUGGUAAA
ensembl:lncRNA